GACGGUACCUAACCAGAAAGCCACGGCUAACUACGUGCCAGCAGCCGCGGUAAUACGUAGGUGGCAAGCGUUGUCCGGAAUUAUUGGGCGUAAAGCGCGCGCAGGCGGUUUCUUAAGUCUGAUGUGAAAGCCCCCGGCUCAACCGGGGAGGGUCAUUGGAAACUGGGGAACUUGAGUGCAGAAGAGGAGAGUGGAAUUCCACGUGUAGCGGUGAAAUGCGUAGAGAUGUGGAGGAACACCAGUGGCGAAGGCGACUCUCUGGUCUGUAACUGACGCUGAGGCGCGAAAGCGUGGGGAGCGAACAGGAUUAGAUACCCUGGUAGUCCACGCCGUAAACGAUGAGUGCUAAGUGUUAGAGGGUUUCCGCCCUUUAGUGCUGCAGCAAACGCAUUAAGCACUCCGCCUGGGGAGUACGGUCGCAAGACUGAAACUCAAAGGAAUUGACGGGGGCCCGCACAAGCGGUGGAGCAUGUGGUUUAAUUCGAAGCAACGCGAAGAACCUUACCAGGUCUUGACAUCCUCUGACAACCCUAGAGAUAGGGCUUCCCCUUCGGGGGCAGAGUGACAGGUGGUGCAUGGUUGUCGUCAGCUCGUGUCGUGAGAUGUUGGGUUAAGUCCCGCAACGAGCGCAACCCUUGAUCUUAGUUGCCAGCAUUCAGUUGGGCACUCUAAGGUGACUGCCGGUGACAAACCGGAGGAAGGUGGGGAUGACGUCAAAUCAUCAUGCCCCUUAUGACCUGGGCUACACACGUGCUACAAUGGGCAGAACAAAGGGCAGCGAAGCCGCGAGGCUAAGCCAAUCCCACAAAUCUGUUCUCAGUUCGGAUCGCAGUCUGCAACUCGACUGCGUGAAGCUGGAAUCGCUAGUAAUCGC
rnacentral:rRNA from 1 species